rnacentral:rRNA from 1 species
UACGAAGGGGGCUAGCGUUGCUCGGAAUCACUGGGCGUAAAGCGCACGUAGGCGGAUCUUUAAGUCAGGGGUGAAAUCCCGGAGCUCAACUCCGGAACUGCCUUUGAUACUGGAGAUCUUGAGUCCGGGAGAGGUGAGUGGAACUGCGAGUGUAGAGGUGAAAUUCGUAGAUAUUCGCAAGAACACCAGUGGCGAAGGCGGCUCACUGGCCCGGUACUGACGCUGAGGUGCGAAAGCGUGGGAG